AGAAAGGGGAAAGGCUGUACAUCAGUGGCAGAACACCUGCCUUGCAUGCAGAAGGCCCCAGCUUCAAUCCCCAGCAUCUCCAGAAUGGCAUCCAUCGGUAGGGGAAAAAGAAGGCUGUCCUGUUUUUUAAAUCAGUUGUGCGAUUAUGUCAUACAGAGGAGUCAAGAACUCUGUUCGCCACGAGUGUUUCCUUUGCUAGAAUGUGUUAUUGAACUCUGUUCCUGCCUUUUGUCUGGAUGGAGGAAUGUGGGUGAAGAAAGUAGCCUCCUAUAUGAAGGUAAAACAAAAAACAUUUGUUGCUGCACCCACUUUUGCCUCUGGCUCCACCCACCACCGGCUCUUGGAAAGUCCCUCAGAAGGGAAUAUGGCCCCUCAACUGGAGAAGGUUCCCCAUCCCCAUCCCCAUCCUAGCCUUUCCAAAAGAUUCCACUAUGGCAACAUCACUGACUCGCGGUCAUCUGGCUAGGAGGUUUCACAGCCCCCAUGUGCUGGCCUUCCUGCAGACCCCUCAGAGUAGUUCCCACCUUUCAACCAUGCAGGGGGUAGUGUAAGACUUGGGGGCAAGGACCAACCAUCCUAAGCAGAGCACUCUCCCAAAGGUCCUACUGUACAAGCUGGAUGGGACA